rnacentral:rRNA from 1 species
AUUGAACGCUGGCGGCAGGCCUAACACAUGCAAGUCGAGCGAGCGGCGGACGGGUGAGUAAUGUAUGGGAAACUGCCUGAUGGAGGGGGAUAACUACUGGAAACGGUAGCUAAUACCGCAUACCAUCAGAUGUACCCAGAUGGGAUUAGCUAGUAGGGGGGGUAAUGGCUCACCUAGGCGACGAUCCCUAGCUGGUCUGAGAGGAUGAACAGCCACACGGGAACUGAGACACGGGCCAGACUCCUACGGGAGGCAGCAGUGGGGAAUAUUGCACAAUGGGCGCAAGCCUGAUGCAGCCAUGCCGCGUGUGUGAAGAAGGCCCUCGGGUUGUAAAGCACUUUCAGCGGGGAGGCGUUACCCGCAGAAGAAGCACCGGCUAACUCCGUGCCAGCAGCCGCGGUAAUUC